CCGGGGAAACGAUGCGCCUCAAGCUGGUCGACAGCGACGACGACGACGAUAACGAUAAGGAUAAGGAUAAGGAUAAGGACGAAAAUGACCAAGAUGA
rnacentral:snRNA from 1 species